rnacentral:sRNA from 1 species
UGCUUAAAUGAAAAGGUUGGAUUUAAAGGCUUCCAAAUUGCAGCUGAAAAACAAAAGGAUAUUGUCUCCAUUCAUUAUGAAGGAAGUGAAUAUAAGCUGUCUCAUGGAUCAGUGGUCAUUGCUGCAGUUAUCAGUUGUACCAAUAAUUGCAAUCCAUCUGUCAUGCUUGCUGCAGGUCUUUUGGCUAAAAAGGCUGUUGAAGCUGGUCUGCGUGUUAAACCUUAUAUAAGAACAAGUUUAUCUCCAGGCAGUGGGAUGGUUACACAUUACCUCAGUUCAAGUGGAGUAUUACCAUAUCUCAGUAAGCUUGGAUUUGAAAUCGUUGGCUAUGGAUGUUCAACUUGUGUGGGAAAUACAGCACCCUUAUCAGACGCAGUUUUAAAUGCAGUAAAACAGGGUGAUUUGGUUACCUGUGGAAUUUUAUCUGGAAACAAAAAUUUUGAAGGUCGUCUUUGUGAUUGUGUUCGUGCCAAUUAUCUUGCCUCUCCACCCUUAGUGGUAGCUUAUGCCAUAGCAGGCACAGUGAAUAUAGAUUUCCAGACAGAACCUUUAGGUAUCUUUUCCUUUAUGUAUAUGUAUACCUACACAUACUUUUCCCAAUGGAAGUCGUUAUAUUUUUGAAACGUUUCUUAGACCAUCUAUUCUUUGAAUUAUUUCAGGAAGACGUAUGAUAAUGUAUAGUUAUUAAUUUCUGUGUUUAUGUGAAGAAAAUAAAAUGUGCAGGUAAUUAGUUCUUCCAGCCGCUUAAGCCUGAAGCACCCUGUUGAAUCAUUUACUUGAUUUCCAUGAUAUGUCUUUGAAAAGGUAUGAACAUUUUCAGAGUUAUUUUUUUACUGAGUAUCAUGUUCAAAAAUUUUAACCAGGUACUGACCCCACCGGCAAGAACAUUUACCUGCAUGAUAUUUGGCCUAGUCGAGAAGAAGUUCAUCGAGUAGAGGAAGAACAUGUUAUACUAUCCAUGUUUAAAGCAUUA